rnacentral:lncRNA from 1 species
AGGAGCAGCUCACCUCGGCACACAGGCACACACUUGCCCAAGCUGAAGAAGUGGGAGUGUAGCUCCUUGGUGAAGCAGAUGUCUGCAGCUGCAGGGGUCCUAAGCAGGGACAGAUGCAAUUAGUCCUGCCCCCUGCACCCGGCUCCACCACCCUGCCCCCAGCAUCAGCAUGCAGAAGGGAGGCACAGGGGAGGGCCUGCGGGGCCCCACCCCAUGCCCUGCCUGGACUGCUGGACGCCACCUCCUGGGCAGAGCAGGAGGAGGGCAAAUCUGGGCAGAGGCAGGUGGGGCCGGCCCGGCCCACUUCGAGGGGCCCAUUCCUCCUCACCAACGCAUCAACUUCAGGUUCCAGAUGUGGCGGAGUUUCAGGAUCCCUAGAGGACAGGAAAGGCUUCAUGCCCCAACUUCCCAUAUCCCCAGGGAGUGCCCUUCCUUCACCCCAUCUCAGGGAAUGAGGGACAGCAGCAGUACCAUUUCCCUACAGCCCAAAGUGGCAUCUUUCAGACCCUUAGGCCAGAUCAUUCAGUUCUCCCUGGCUCCUCCCUCUCCCCCACCCUCCACAUCUUACUAAUCACUGCACCUGGACUGCCUACCUCCCCAACAUACUUGGACAAUGCCCAUUCUUCUAUACUUCUCCCUGUACUGUCACUGCAACCAGCCCAGUCUAGGCUAGUGGAUGGCUCCAAGUCCUCCUUCCUGGCCUCCCAGGAUCCACCUGUGACAUCUAUAGGCCUUUCUCCACCCAGCAGCCAGGGUGAGCUCUGAAGGGCUCCAGUGUGGCUAGGUGGCUCCCCAUGAACUCUAGGACAGUCUAAGCCCUCUGUUCAGGAGUGGAAGCCCCGGGCACCCCUCCACCCGGCCAUCUGGUUACCAGAGCCAAGCAACUUCCUGUAAAGUCAGCAGAGCAGGAACCUCUAGGUGUGGCAACCAGGCUCCUAAAUAGGGCUGAACGGUACACGCCCAGCCAGGGGCAAACCUGAAGCCAGGACACUGGGCUUCCAGUCCCUGGCCCAGAACUUCCUCACAGGAUAUCCUAUGUCCAACCCCCAAAUUUUUCCCAAGACUGUGGGGCCCUGGUUGGUUUAGAGAACAGAGGGUUCUGGAGGCCUGACGUUAAAGGAGCUGUAAGAUAUGCCCUGUGGCCGUUCCUUGGUCCUGCUCCAUGCCCAAGGCCCUCUCCAAAUCAUGCUCCCUCAGGGAUGCUGCAGGAGCCACAAAUCCAAGUCUCAGCCCUGGGGCAGAACACCCGGAAAUCGGAGGGCCAGGGCUCCAUGAAAAGGCAGCGAGAAGGGGUUUGUUCUGACGAGGCUGGGCCCGUCCCGAAUCCUCGCCUUUCCUCCCGCUGCCCAGCACACUGGCCCGGGUACCCCAGAGAUGAGGGUCGUCCAUGCAGGACUGGUGAUUGGACACGGUGAUGAGGGGCGUGGCCGGGCCUCGGUUCUCGAUGAGCUCGUACAGCACCUCCUUGUUGUGCACGGUCAGGUGGUUCAUGUACUCUGGCGGGGAAGGAGAGGUCAGGCGCUCAGGGCUCGCCCGCUAGGUCGGGGCCGCGGCGUCCCCCACCCUAAGUCCCACCUCCGGCCGGGCAUGGGUACCCGGGCGGGCCUGCCUCGGCCUGGGCCCACUCACUGGUCCAGAAGCAGCUGUAGGUGCCCACCAAGCCCAUGACGACGCUGCUGGCCAGGGUCCAGCCUUCUAUCACCACGUCGAACCCAUUAGCUACAGCCAUCCCAUGAGAAGCUGAGUGGAUUCAGCCCCACCUCCUGCUCACAGACCCUGUCCGAGCACCUCAUUCGUCCCAACAGCGUCACUGCAGGACCCCCAGGACGUUGGACUGCCAGCUCCCUGGGUCUCCUCCUCUCUGGGGCAGAUCCUCAGUCCUCCCUUGACUUCACGACUAUGGCCAGAUCAUGUGUGGACUGUCCCUCUCUUUGGGUCUCCAGAGCGCUUGCAUCAAACACCCCUAACUCAGAAGUGUGCAGCCACACUGGGACUCAGAACCCAACAACAGGGACAGAAGACUCACGCCCUUGGGGUGCCCGGUCUCGUGGCAUCAGGCAUGACUUCCAGCUCCUGCGCCUUCCCCAGCAACUGCUGACUGGGGACCCAGACCGGGAGCUGAGCGACGGGCCUGGCGAGCGAAGCUCGGGGUCUCACUCAGGCACCAGCCCCUCCUUGCCCCAGGCCCUUGGCACAGCCCUAUUCAGGCAGGAGCUGCUCUUCUGGGGUAUCGCGAUCCACUUAAGGAUGAGGCAGACUUGGUGACAAGCUGGUCUGAGCAGCGCUUCCAGAGCCAGAACUGAGCCCAGUGAGAGCGCACCCUGGGGCAGCCUGGAUUCCUGGGGUGUCCCCGGCAGCCACACACAGCCAUGCACUACCCAACUGCACUCCUCUUCCUCAUCCUGGCCAAUGGGGCCCAGGCCUUUCGCAUCUGCGCCUUCAAUGCCCAGCGGCUGACGCUGGCCAAGGUGGCCAGGGAGCAGGUGAUGGACACCUUAGUUCGGAUACUGGCUCGCUGUGACAUCAUGGUGCUGCAGGAGGUGGUGGACUCUUCUGGCAGCGCCAUCCCCCUCCUGCUUCGAGAACUC